UACGUAGGGUGCAAGCGUUAAUCGGAAUUACUGGGCGUAAAGCGUGCGCAGGCGGUUGUGCAAGACAGAUGUGAAAUCCCCGGGCUUAACCUGGGAACUGCAUUUGUGACUGCACGGCUAGAGUGUGGCAGAGGGGGGUAGAAUUCCACGUGUAGCAGUGAAAUGCGUAGAGAUGUGGAGGAAUACCGAUGGCGAAGGCAGCCCCCUGGGAUAACACUGACGCUGAUGCACGAAAGCGUGGGGAGCAAGCAGG
rnacentral:rRNA from 1 species